AUUGAACGCUGGCGGCAGGCUUAACACAUGCAAGUCGAACGGUAACAGGGAAAAAGCUUGCUUUUUCCGCUGACGAGUGGCGGACGGGUGAGUAAAGUAUGGGGAUCUGCCGAAUGGAGGGGGACAACUGCUGGAAACGGCAGCUAAUACCGCAUAAUGUCGUGAGACCAAAGCGUGGGACCUUAGGGCCAUGUACCAUUUGAUGAACCCAUAUGGGAUUAGCUGGUUGGUGGGGUAAAGGCCUACCAAGGCGACGAUCUCUAGCUGGUCUGGGAGGAUGACCAGGCAAACUGGAACUGAGACACGGGCCAGACGCCUACGGGAGGCAGCAGUGGGGAAUAUUGGACAAUGGGCGCAAGCCUGAUCCAGCCAUACCGCGUGGGUGAAGAAGGCCUUCGGGUUGUAAAGCCCUUUUGUUGGGAAAGAAAUCCAGCUGGUUAAUACCCGGUUGGGAUGACGGUACCCAAAGAAUAAGCACCGGCUAACUUCGUGCCAGCCGCCGCCGUAA
rnacentral:rRNA from 1 species